CUUGCUGGUGAGGUGGAAAAUCUUUCUCUGUUCCAAGCAGGGUGCACCUCCCCAUCUGCGUCAGAGACGGUAGGUGGUGCUGUGGUGUUAAAAGCUGAUUAAAGCAGGGGGUGAAAGUCCCACAGAGAAAAAAGUGACCCAAGUGCAGAGGGCUGGGGAGAGGAGUUUAAAGAAGGGCAGGAAUAUGCAUCCUCAUUCAGUGUCUUUCCAAUUCGGGUGCUACAGAGGAAAACCACAGCAUGGAAUGAGCGCAAAACUAAGUGAUCGUGCAUGGCAAGUACUCAAAAAUAUUCAUGAGUGUGAGUGAAAGGCAUGAAUAAGCCAAUGGGAGCUCUUAGCAUCGCUGAACAAUAUGGUUGGCCUCGACAAGUUGGAAGACAACUUGGGUGAAAAGAUGAAAGAUGGAUUUCAACGGAGAGCAUCUGGUUUUGUCAGAAAAAGGUAGGAGUCUGUUAGCUGAGGUUGGCAUACUGUGAUUGCCAGCUCCAAAAUGUCAGCCUGGGGCAACUGGCUGAGAAAGGAAUGCCAAUGGGUCAGUAAUAUCUGUCAUAUGAAUGGCACAUAGCAUGGUGGCACAAGCUAUAUACUCGAUGGCUCCGAUAAGACUAUGGCCAAUGAAAGAUUAUCAAAGUCUGUC
rnacentral:lncRNA from 1 species